rnacentral:rRNA from 1 species
AUUGAACGCUGGCGGCAGGCCUAACACAUGCAAGUCGAGCGGAGCGGCGGACGGGUGAGUAAUGACUAGGAAUCUGCCUGGUAGUGGGGGAUAACGUCCGGGAAGGGGCGCUAAUACCGCAUACUAUCAGAUGAGCCUAGGUCGGAUUAGCUGGUUGGUGGGGUAAAGGCUUACCAAGGCGACGAUCCGUAACUGGUCUGAGAGGAUGAUCAGCCACACUGGAACUGAGACACGGUCCAGACUCCUACGGGAGGCAGCAGUGGGGAAUAUUGGGCAAUGGGCGAAAGCCUGAUCCAGCCAUGCCGCGUGUGUGAAGAAGGUCUUCGGAUCGUAAAGCACUUUAGGUUGGGAGGCGUUACCAACAGAAUAAGCACCGGCUAACUUCGUGCCAGCAGCCGCGGUAAUUC